UGGCCCCAGCAAAAAGAAGAGCUUUGAGGAGUCACCUCUUCCAGCUCUAUGGGAAGAGUCUUCGUGACGACCAGAAGGAGUCUCUAUGGAUGAAUGACAUUGUAAAGAAGAUGAAUGACAAAAUCAGAGGAAUCAAAAAUAAUAAAUACAAAUUAUAAAACUCAAA